AGGUAACAUCCAAAAGAUAGAUGCCUACCCGAUACAGUUUUCCUAUAGUAAAAGUUUUAUUUCUUGCUUGUGGUAUUCUUAGGAUUUUCUGCAGGUCUCAAAUGGUAAGAAAGCAUC